AUGGCCUGUGGUGUCUUCCCUUCCCCGGCAGUUCUCGUGGGUGCUGUACUGAAACAUUACAACGAGACGGCGUCCCUGCGAGGCUCCCGAGGGAGGGAGCAGGAAGAUCCAGGCGGCAUCUUGAAGUGGAGACUCCAAUGUCACCAUUCCUGUUGCUCAUUAAGAAGCCAUGACUUACACUGUGAAAACCUGUCAGAGGCGUUGGAACAAGAGCGACUCCAUCUUGAACAGGCCUGAGCGACUCCAUCUUGAACGGGGCCUGAGUGACUCCAUGAUGAACGGGGCCUGAGCGACUCCAUGAUGAACAGGGCCUGAGUGACUCCAUGAUGAACGGGGCCUCAGCGACUCCAUGAUGAACGGGGCCCGGGCGACUCCAUGUUGAACGGGGCCCGGGCGACUCCAUGAUGAACGGGGCCCGGGCGACUCCAUCUUGAACGGGGCCCGGGCGACUCCAUCUUGAACGGGGCCCGGGGACUCCAUCUUGAACGGGGCCUGAGCGACUCCAUCUUGAACGGGGCCUCAGCGACUCCAUGAUGAACAGGGCCCGGGCGACUCCAUGUUGAACGGGGCCUGGGCGACUCCAUCUUGAACGGGCCCUGAUAGGGCCAGGCGACUCCAUCUUGAGCGUGGCCGGGACUCCAUCUGGAACAGGGCCCGAGGCGACUCCAUGUUGAACGGGGCCUGGGCGACUCCAUCUUGAUGGGGCUUGAGUGACUCCAUGUUGAACGGGGCCUGCAGAGGGGACGUGCACGGACUGGGAGCCUCAGGGCCCGGCUCCGCAGCUCUGCAAAGUGUCGAACUGAGUGCCUUUCUGUGCAGCACAGUGUGGUGUAACCCGUGCCUGUAUCUCGUUCCAGGAUGUUCUCGUCGCCUCCACUGGAUCCUCUGCUUUUUGCUUUUUUCUUUCUUUCUUUUGAUCGCCUAGGCUGGAGUGCAGCAGUGUGAUCUCAGCUCACUGCAGCCUCCCCCUCCUGGGUUCAAGCAAUUCUCCUGCCUCAGUCUCCCGAGUAGCUGGGACGACAGGUGUGCACCACCACGCCUCCAUAAU
rnacentral:lncRNA from 1 species